AAGGACCCCAAUAAAGCCUGGCGCGGGGCUCUCUGUUCCUUCUCUGGGUGUGAGUGAGUUGUCUGUGCGGCAGGUUUGCAGAUAUGGGCCUCGGCUACAGAUGUGAUGAAAAGGGCACUACAGAAUGGUCUGAAGACGUCACCUAGUAGUUUUUAUUCUCUGUGGCAUUUAAUGUUGAGCAUCCAUGAAUCAACUUGGUUCCAGUUUUCAAAUGAAAAGAGCUGUGAUUCCUGACUGAGAACUUGAGUUUUCUUCAGGGUGGAGUUUUUUGCACCCAGUGUGAAAGAUGGCUUUUAACUCGUGUUGGAGCAUCGAUGGUGAGAGCUGUGCAUUAGUGUUCAUGAAUAUAACCUGCAAUGUUGGUGCUGAUGGAGCAACUGAUGCAAAUAAAGCUCUGAAGUGUGAA